GUCAUCCAGCAAGCACACUCAUCAUGGUAAUCCUUUCCAUUUGAAUGAAAGCUGUACGAAAGUAAUUCAAUUUUAGAAUUUUUAAUGGGUAAAAUGAUAAAAUGAAAUUGUUUUUUUUUUGUUAACUGAAUGUAGUUUAUAUUUUCAUAAAAAAGAUCAAGAAGACCUACCCUGCAUCAUUAGGAUAAUGAAAACUUGUAACAAUCAAGAAAAAAUAAAUAUAAGGAUAUUUAUGAUAGAGAUGGUCCCAAAGCUUUCUAACUAAUUGAAACAACAAUAGCAGCGAGGAGGGGGAG
rnacentral:lncRNA from 1 species